ACUCCUACGGGAGGCAGCAGUAGGGAAUCUUCCACAAUGGGCGCAAGCCUGAUGGAGCAACACCGCGUGAGUGAAGAAGGGUUUCGGCUCGUAAAGCUCUGUUGUUAAAGAAGAACACGUAUGAGAGUAACUGUUCAUACGUUGACGGUAUUUAACCAGAAAGUCACGGCUAACUACGUGCCAGCAGCCGCGGUAAUACGUAGGUGGCAAGCGUUAUCCGGGAUUUUAUUGGGCGUAAAGAGAGUGCAGGCGGUUUUCUAAGUCUGAUGUGAAAGCCUUCGGCUUAACCGGAGAAGUGCAUCGGAAACUGGAUAACUUGAGUGCAGAAGAGGUAGUGGAACUCCAUGUGUAGCGGUGGAAUGCGUAGAUAUAUGGAAGAACACCAGUGGCGAAGGCGGCUACCUGGUCUGCAACUGACGCUGAGACUCGAAAGCAUGGGUAGCGAACAGGAUUAGAUACCCCGUGGUAGGAAAG
rnacentral:rRNA from 1 species